rnacentral:rRNA from 1 species
AGAGUUUGAUCAUGGCUCAGAUUGAACGCUGGCGGCAGGCCUAACACAUGCGAGUCGAGCGGAUGAAGGGAGCUUGCUCCUGGAUUCAGCGGCGGACGGGUGAGUAAUGCCUAGGAAUCUGCCUGGUAGUGGGGGAUAACGUCCGGAAACGGGCGCUAAUACCGCAUACGUCCUGAGGGAGAAAGUGGGAGAUCUUCGGACCUCACGCUAUCAGAUGAGCCUAGGUCGGAUUAGCUAGUUGGUGGGGUAAAGGCCUACCAAGGCGACGAUCCGUAACUGGUCUGAGAGGAUGAUCAGUCACACUGGAACUGAGACACGGUCCAGACUCCUACGGGAGGCAGCAGUGGGGAAUAUUGGACAAUGGGCGAAAGCCUGAUCCAGCCAUGCCGCGUGUGUGAAGAAGGUCUUCGGAUUGUAAAGCACUUUAAGUUGGGAGGAAGGGCAGUAAGUUAAUACCUUGCUGUUUUGACGUUACCAACAGAAUAAGCACCGGCUAACUUCGUGCCAGCAGCCGCGGUAAUACGAAGGGUGCAAGCGUUAAUCGGAAUUACUGGGCGUAAAGCGCGCGUAGGUGGUUCAGCAAGUUGGAUGUGAAAUCCCCGGGCUCAACCUGGGAACUGCAUCCAAAACUACUGAGCUAGAGUACGGUAGAGGGUGGUGGAAUUUCCUGUGUAGCGGUGAAAUGCGUAGAUAUAGGAAGGAACACCAGUGGCGAAGGCGACCACCUGGACUGAUACUGACACUGAGGUGCGAAAGCGUGGGGAGCAAACAGGAUUAGAUACCCUGGUAGUCC